rnacentral:rRNA from 1 species
UCCCGUUGAUCCUGCGGGAGAUUGCUGCUAUUGGGGUUCGAUUUAGCCAUGCAAGUCUAGGGGGUUCUUCGGAACCACCGGCGAAAUGCUCAGUAACACGUUGUUAAUCUGCCUUCAGGUCUGGGAUAGCCUUGGGAAACUGAGGGUAAUACCGGAUAUGGGAAUUGUUCUGGAAAUGAUUUUUCCUUUAAAGUUCCGGCGCCUGAAGAUGAGACAGCGGCGGAUCAGGUUGUUGGUGGGGUAAUGGCCCACCAAGCUUAUGAUCCGUACGGGCCGUGAGAGCGGUAGCCCGGAGAGGGACACUGAGAUACUGGUCCCAGCCCUACGGGGUGCAGCAGGCGCGAAACCUUUACAAUGCACGAAAGUGUGAUAAGGGAACCCCAAGUGCUCAUGUAUCACAUGGGCUUUUGCCAAGUGUAAAUAGCUUGGAGAAUAAGUGGUGGGUAAGACUGGUGCCAGCAGCCGCGGUAACACCAGCGCCACGAGUGGGAAUCAGCUUUAUUUGGCCUAAAGCGUCCGUAGCUGGUCUUGUAAAUCCUUUGUGAAAUCAUGGAGCUUAACUUCAUGGCGUGCAGGGGACACUGCAAGACUCGAGACCGGGAGGAGUCAGAGGUACUCUGGGGGGAGCGGUAAAAUGCAAUAAUCCCCAGCGGACCAUCUGUGGCGAAGGCGUCUGACUAGAACGGAUCUGACAGUGAGGGACGAAAGCUAGGGGAGCGAUCCGGAUUAGAUACCCGAGUAGUCCUAGCCGUAAACGCUGCGAGCAAGGCGUUGCAUGUUCUCCGUGAAUAUGCAGUGUCGAAACGAAGGUGUUAAGCUCGCCGCCUGGGAAGUAUGGUCGCAAGACUGAAACUUAAAGGAAUUGGCGGGGGAGCACUACAAGGGGUGCGGCGUGCGGUUUAAUCUAACUCAACGCAGAGAACCUCACCAGAAGCGACGGCAGAAUGAAAGUCAGUCUGAAGGGCUUACUUGACGAGCCGAGAGGUAGUGCAUGGCCGCCGUCAGCUCGUGCCGUAAGGUGUCCUGUUAAGUCAGGCAACGAGCGAGACCUGUACCCAUAAUUGUCAGCGGAUAGUUUACUAUGACCGGACACUUUAUGGGAACUGCCUUGGAAACAAGGAGGAAGGUGCAGGCUACGGUAGGUCUGUAUGCUCCGAAUCUUCUGGGCUACACGCGCGCAACAAUGGUAAGGACAAUGGGAUGCAACUCCGAAAGGAGAAGCUAAACCUCUAAACCUUAUCCCAGUCUAGAUCGAGGGUUGCAACUCACCCUCGUGACACCGGAAUCCCUAGUAAUCGGGUGUCAACAUCGCCCGGUGAAUAUGUCCCUGCUCCUUGCACACACCGCCCGUCAAACCACUCGAGCAGGGUUUAGGUGAGCGCUACCUUAAUUGGGUAGUUCGAAUCUAGGCUCAGUGAGAUGGGUUAAGUCGUCACAAGGUA